rnacentral:rRNA from 1 species
UACGGGGGGGUAAGCGUUGUUCGGAAUUACUGGGCGUAAAGGGCUCGUAGGCGGCCAACUAAGUCAGACGUGAAAUCCCUCAGCUUAACUGGGGAACUGCGUCUGAUACUGGAUGGCUUGGAUUCGGGAGAGGAAUGCGGAAUUCCAGGUGUAGCGGUGAAAUGCGUAGAUAUCUGGAGGAACACCGGUGGCGAAGGCGGCAUCCUGGACCAAUUCUGACACUGAGGAGCGAAAGCCAGGGGAGCAAACGGG